rnacentral:rRNA from 1 species
GGUGGUUAAUUAAGUCAGAUGUGAAAGCCCAGGGCUCAACCUUGGAACUGCAUUUGAAACUGAAUAACUAGAGUUUUGUAGAGGGUGGUAGAAUUUCAGGUGUAGCGGUGAAAUGCGUAGAGAUCUGAAGGAAUACCAGUGGCGAAGGCGGCCACCUGGACAAAGACUGACACUGAGGCGCGAAGGCGUGGGGAGCAAACGGGAUUAGAUACCCCGGUAGUCCACGCAGUAAACGAUGUCUAUUAGAAGUUUGUGGCUAUAUGCCGUGGGUUUCAAAGCUAACGCAUUAAAUAGACCGCCUGGGGAGUACGGCCGCAAGGUUAAAACUCAAAUGAAUUGACGGGGGCCCGCACAAGCGGUGGAGCAUGUGGUUUAAUUCGAUGCAACGCGAAGAACCUUACCAUCCCUUGACAUCCAGAGAAUCUGUUAGAGAUAGUAGAGUGCCUUCGGGAGCUCUGAGACAGGUGCUGCAUGGCUGUCGUCAGCUCGUGUUGUGAAAUGUUGGGUUAAGUCCCGCAACGAGCGCAACCCUUAUCCUUAGUUGCCAGCACGUAAUGGUGGGAACUCUAGGGAGACUGCCGGUGAUAAACCGGAGGAAGGUGGGGACGACGUCAAGUCAUCAUGGCCCUUACGGGAUGGGCUACACACGUGCUACAAUGGCAAAUACAAAGGGCUGCUAACCUGCGAAGGUAUGCGAAUCUCAUAGAGUUUGUCGUAGUCCGGAUCGGAGUCUGCAACUCGACUC